rnacentral:rRNA from 1 species
UACUGGGGGUGCAAGCGUUGUCCGGAAUCAUUGGGCGUAAAGCGUUCGUAGGCGGACUAUUAAGUCUGAUGUCAAAUCCCCGGGCUCAACUCGGGCACGGCAUCGGAUACUGGUAGACUGGAAUACGGCAGAGGUUAAGGGAAUUCCUGGUGUAGCGGUGAAAUGCGUAGAUAUCAGGAGGAACACCGGAGGCGAAAGCGCUUAACUGGGCCGAAAUUGACGCUGAGGAACGAAAGCCGGGGGAGCAAAU